rnacentral:sRNA from 1 species
UUUUAGCCCCGAUAGUAGUGGAAAUCCUUUUUUCGUCAGUUCGAGUAGCUUGCAAAGCGUAUCGAGAACAAGAAAAAAGAUUGUAACGGAUAGCGGGAAUAGCU